CAGGCCUAACACAUGCAAGUCGAGCGGUAGCACAGAGAGCUUGCUCUCGGGUGACGAGCGGCGGACGGGUGAGUAAUGUCUGGGAAACUGCCUGAUGGAGGGGGAUAACUACUGGAAACGGUAGCUAAUACCGCAUAAUGUCGCAAGACCAAAGUGGGGGACCUUCGGGCCUCAUGCCAUCAGAUGUGCCCAGAUGGGAUUAGCUAGUAGGUGGGGUAACGGCUCACCUAGGCGACGAUCCCUAGCUGGUCUGAGAGGAUGACCAGCCACACUGGAACUGAGACACGGUCCAGACUCCUACGGGAGGCAGCAGUGGGGAAUAUUGCACAAUGGGCGCAAGCCUGAUGCAGCCAUGCCGCGUGUGUGAAGAAGGCCUUCGGGUUGUAAAGCA
rnacentral:rRNA from 1 species